rnacentral:rRNA from 1 species
GCGUAUAUUAAAGUUGUUGCAGUUAAAAAGCUCGUAGUCGGAUGUCGGGCUCGGGCAAGCUGUCGGCCUUUGGUCGGACGGCAGGCUCGGGUCUUUCUGCCUGAGGAACCCGGUUGCUUUAACGAGCUGCCGGUGGACGCAGGUCGUUUACUUUGAAAAAAUUAGAGUGUUCAAAGCAGGCUAGCGCUUGAAUACAUUAGCAUGGAAUAAUGGAAUAGGACUUUGGUGCUAUUUUGUUGGUUUAUGGGACCGAAGUAAUGAUUAACAGGGACAGUUGGGGCCGUUUAUAUUUCGUUGUCAGAGGUGAAAUUCUUGGAUUUACGAAAGAUAAACUUCUGCGAAAGCAUUCGGCAAGGAUGUUUUCAUUGAUCAAGAACGAGAGUUAGGGGAUCGAAGACGAUCAGAUACCGUCGUAGUCUUAACCAUAAACUAUGCCGACUAGGGAUCAGUGGAUGUCAAUUUGCGACUCCAUUGGCACCUUGUGAGAAAUCAAAGUUUUUGGGUUCCGGGGGGAGUAUGGUCGCAAGGCUGAAACUUAAAGGAAUU